rnacentral:tRNA from 1 species
UGCGGAGUGGCGCAGCGGCAAGCGCAGCUGGCCCAUACCCAGCAGGUCGCCGGUUCGAAUCCGGCCUCCGCAACCG